AUUUGAUAAAGGGAUGAAUAUGGAUAGGAAGAAUCCAAGUGCUAUUCCUCAGUAUAAUACAAAAAUGACUCCCAAGGCAUUUUGGAGAUUAUCAGUGCUGCCCCUUCUAUCAUAGGCCCAGAAUGCCAAGAUCUGGGGGACAGAACUAUGUCAAAAGAGGAGCCUUGGGUGCUAGAGAGACCACGGCACUACUGUCCAGUGCUGCCUCAAGUCUCUGCUCCCCAUAUUCUGGUGCAGCACUCCUUUGCUGCCCCAGGUGUGAUUCAAGUGGACCCAGGCACUUUGAUCUUGAAAUUCCCAGUCUCCAGAAAUAAUCCAUCUGGAUUUGCUUGCUAGAGAUACAACAAAUAAAAGAGAAAACUUUACACCAAUAUCCCUUAUGAAUGUGGAUGCAAAAAUCCUCAACAGAAUACCAGAAAACCAAAUUCAGCAGCACAUCAAAAAGAUAAUGCACCAAGAUCAAAUAGCAUUUAUUCCUGUGAUGCAAGGUUGGUUCAACAUAUGCAAAUUAGUAAGUGUGAUUCAUCACAUAAACAGAAC
rnacentral:lncRNA from 1 species